UGGGGUGUCGCCAAGUGGUAAGGCAGUGGACUCUGACUCCGCCAGUCGUAGGUUCGAAUCCUGCCACCCCAGCCA
rnacentral:tRNA from 1 species